UGCAGUCGACGGUGAACCGCCUUCGGGCGGGGAUCAGUGGCGAACGGGUGAGUAACACGUGGGUAACCUGCCCUCCACUCUGGGAUAACUCCGGGAAACCGGGGCUAAUACCGGAUACGACCUGAGGCGGCAUCGCCUCGGGUGGAAAGUUUUUCGGUGGAGGAUGGACCCGCGGCCUAUCAGCUUGUUGGUGGGGUAACGGCCUACCAAGGCGAUGACGGGUAGCCGGCCUGAGAGGGCGACCGGCCACACUGGGACUGAGACACGGCCCAGACUCCUACGGGAGGCAGCAGUGGGGAAUAUUGCACAAUGGGCGAAAGCCUGAUGCAGCGACGCCGCGUGAGGGAUGACGGCCUUCGGGUUGUAAACCUCUUUCAGCAGGGACGAAGCGCAAGUGACUGUACCUGCAGAAGAAGCACCGGCUAACUACGUGCCAGCAGCCGCGGUAAUACGUAGGGUGCGAGCGUUGUCCGGAAUUAUUGGGCGUAAAGAGCUUGUAGGUGGCUCGUUGCGUCGGGAGUGAAAACCCGCGGCUUAACCGCGGGCCUGCUUCCGAUACGGGCGAGCUAGAGUUCGGCAGGGGAGACUGGAAUUCCUGGUGUAGCGGUGGAAUGCGCAGAUAUCAGAGGAACACCGGUGGCGAAGGCGGGUCUCUGGGCCGAUACUGACACUGAGAAGCGAAAGCGUGGGGAGCGAACAGGAUUAGAUACCCUGGUAGUCCACGCCGUAAACGUUGGGAACUAGUGUGGGGUCCAUUCCACGGGCUCUGUGCCGCAGCUAACGCAUUAAGUUCCCCCCCUGGGGAGUACGGCCGCAAGGCUAAAACUCAAAGAAUUUGACGGGGGCCCGCCAA
rnacentral:rRNA from 1 species